rnacentral:rRNA from 1 species
UACAGAGGGUGCAAGCGUUAAUCGGAAUUACUGGGCGUAAAGGGCGCGUAGGUGGUUCAUUAAGUGAGAUGUGAAAUCCCCGGGCUUAACCUGGGACGUGCGUCUUAAACUGAUAAGCUAGAGUGCAAUAGAGGGUAGUGGAAUUUCCGGUGUAGCGGUGAAAUGCGUAGAGAUCGGAAGGAACACCAGUGGCGAAGGCGGCUGCCUGGAUUGACACUGACACUGAGGCGCGAGAGCGUGGGGAGCAAACAGG